GUGCACUAAAAUGGAAGUGAUGCUGCCAUGUCUUUGCCUUCAUAGAGCAAACCGCAAGCAUAUCACAAGUUCCCCACUUUGAUCACACCCAUUGCUCUUAGGGCCUGAGAUGUGAGGACUGUGUGUCCAGUGUGGCCUAAAAAUUCUUCACAUUUUUACAUACAGAUCUAAUUUGUACUGCGAACAGUGCUGCUAAAAUAAGCAGUUGCCUUUAUGUACAAUAACUGAUUAAUUAAAUCUGACUGAGAGGCAGGAUGUCUCAGUGUCAGAUGCCCAUUGGUGUUCCCAUCCCUUGGCCAUGCCGAACAUUCAUCCAAUUUGAGGUAGACAUGUUAUUCUCUCCUGGCUGCCUGCCGGCCACACUCGAUCACACCUCAGCCUUUAAAGUGCACGCCAAGAUCAGUCAUCUGCUGGGGCCAAGGUGUAACUUUAUGAAAUAAUUACUUCACUGGCCUUUGGAGUAUGCAGCAGGCUGAAAAUAAACAGCAGUGGGUUGCGCAGGAAGAGAAAAAGCGUGAGGAGAAGAGAUGCAAGGGGCCAUAGUGUGAAAUGAGAGCGGCAGCAGCAGAAUUUAUGGCUGACAUUCAUGUUAUGGCAGUGGUUCAGACGUGACCUCCUCACUAACUCAGCAGCUGCCUGGUCUUCAUUGCCUUUCUCCACCUGUCCCGAAAGCACGCCACUCUCAAGGCUGGACCAGAUAAAUCUGCAAGUCUGUAAUGAACACCACUCUGAAACACGAGCCAGCAGUUGUGGCUGCCUUCUCUACGAUACACCCCAUCGUGCCGCACCUUCUAAGAAAACACAGUGUCAGGCAAAUCGCAUCUGCAUGUUUGGAGAGAAACUGGUGCCAGAGCACUUCAGCAGAGCCGCUGAUCCACCACCUCAUCCAUCAGAGCUGCAGAAAGGCCUGGCCAGAGGCUGACCAGAGCGGCACGCCAGGCCACCUGCCCCUGCCUAAAACACUUCUGACACUGUAAAGUCAAGAUAUUAGUCCAAGCGUAAACCUCAUUCAUCAUCUCCAAAGCAACGAACGCCGUGAAUGAAAGUGCUCACGGACAGCACCACAGCCUUGGCCUUCAAGUCUGUGUUAAGCGCCGCGGAUGACUUCACAAUGAACAAAGAGUGCUCUCUCUCUCUCAGCAUCGACACACUUGCACCUUUCCUCUUGCUCUGUGAUGUCAUGUAUUAUUGCAGCUCUUUAAAGCAGGGUAUUUCAAAGAGCACAAAGAAGCUCCGUUCCACCACUGGGCAGCUUCCAGCAAGAGUAGGCUAUAAGCUGGGACUGAUUGCUUCCAGUUCCAUACCACAUUGUGAAAAAUGAUUGCCAUUUUAAUGGAAAAAGACUGCAGAAAUGUGAAGAUAAAAAUUGGUUAAUGGCAAGUUCUCUUACUCGAUAGCCUACAGUGUAAAAUGUCUAAUGGGGCAUUUAUAUAAUUUUACAUUAAAAUACUGCUAAACCAACUGUAUAAGUUUUUUUUCCUUGAUAUGUCAGUUUUAAAAUCAUUCUGGUAGUACACUGAUUCUAAUGAGGGAAAUAGCCUCUGUUUCUUU
ensembl:lncRNA